GAUUCAUGGCUCUAUCGAUGAGCAUCGGCAUGGAAAGCCGUAGGUAAAGGGUUCGAUUCCCAUAAGAGUCA
rnacentral:tRNA from 1 species